GACUACUGGGGUAUCUAAGCCUGUUUGCUUCCCACGCUUUCGCGUCUCAGCGUCGGUAUCUGCCCAGAGAGCCGCCUUCGCCACUGGUGUUCCUCCCGAUAUCUACGAAUUUCACCUCUACACCGGGAAUUCCGCUCUCCUCUUCAGAACCCAAGUCCGGCAGUAUCGAGCGCACUUCCGGGGUUGAGCCCCGGGAUUUCACGUCCGACUUACCAGACCGCCUACACGCGCUUUACGCCCAGUAAUUCCGAGCAACGUUUGCAUCCUCUGUCUUACCGCGGCUGCUGGCACAGAGUUAGCCGAUGCUUGCUAAAGGAGUACCGUCAGGCACGGAGGGUAUUCGCCCCCGUACGGUUCGUUCUCCCCCACAGGGCUUUACAACCCGAAGGCCUUCUUCGCCCACGCGGCGUCGCUGCGUCAGGCUUUCGCCCAUUGCGCAAGAUUCCCCACUGCUGCCUCCCGUAGG
rnacentral:rRNA from 1 species